UACGGAGGGUGCAAACGUUGCUCGGAAUCAUUGGGCGUAAAGCGCGCGUAGGCGGUCGCAUAAGUCCGGCGUGAAAGCCCAGGGCUCAACCCUGGAAUGCCGCUGGAAACUGUACGACUUGAGGGCGAGAGGGGCUUGUGGAAUUUCUGGUGUAGGGGUGAAAUCCGUAGAGAUCAGAAGGAACACCGGUGGCGAAGGCGACAAGCUGGAUCGCACCUGACGCUGAGGCGCGAAAGCGUGGGGAGCAAACAGG
rnacentral:ncRNA from 2 species